GAAUAUUGGACAAUGGGGGGAACCCUGAUCCAGCCAUGCCGCGUGUGUGAAGAAGGCCUUUUGGUUGUAAAGCACUUUAAGCGAGGAGGAGGAGCUCUUGGUUAAUACCCAAGAUGCCUGGACGUUCCUCGCAGAAUAAGCACCGGCUACAUCUGUGCCAGCAGCCGCGGUACUACAGAGGGUGCAAGACUUAAGCGGAUUUACUGGGCGUAAAGCGCGCGUAGGUGGCCAAUUAAGUCAAAUUUGAAAUCCCCGAUCUUAACUUGGGAUUUGCAUUCGAUGCUGGUUGGCUGGAGUAUGGGAGAGGAUGGUAGAAUUCCAGGUGUAGCGGUGAAAUGCGUAGAGAUCUGGAGGAAUACCGAUGGCGAAGGCAGCCAUCUGGCCUAAUACUGACACUGAGGUGCGAAAGCAUGGGGAGCAAACA
rnacentral:rRNA from 1 species